CCGAGCUAGGGGUACAAGUCCUGCAGUAUUGCGUUCCUCUGGACCUAAGCGACGACCUGAAAGGGUAGCGACGACGCUCGGCGUUAGUGGGGAGAGUAUCAGACGUGAUGUCCCCUCUAAC
rnacentral:sRNA from 12 species